CCUGGAACCUGGGUGGUAUUCUGCUUUGUAGUUUAUUUCUUAAACUUUAAAAUACUAUUUAGGAUCAUUUCAAUACAUGCACAUCUCAAGAGUGACCCCAGAAUUUCAUCAUGUUAUGUGUGAUUUUUUUAACAGCUUCUCUUCAAUCUCCCAACACUCUCUGCCAUCAAAGAGUGCCUGUUUCUAAUUCUUUGACUACUCGACUGGGAAGCAGAGGAUUUGUUCUCCCUACGUGACCACACAAUUCCUUCAUCCAGAUCCAUUGGAUCUCCUAAGGAGGCAGACCUACUCUCUCUAUUUAUUACAGAAAAUGUCAUUGUAUCUGACAAAGAGCAAGUAACUACGGAAAAGAAGAUGAGAACACAUCCCAUCUUGUCAGUAUAGUGAAUAUCAAAGGCAGACGGAAGUAUCACAAGAAAUCUUAACUACAAGAAAUUAUUCCUAAUGAACAUGGAUGAACAUAAAAUGCCUGAUAAUAUCAUAUUUGGCAUGCACUGCACAAAGAUCUUUCAAUUCAUGAUGGAUUGCAUCUAUGACAAUGGUCCCAUUAUACUAUAAUGGAGCUGAAAAUUUUCUAGUGACAUCAUAGUUACAACAAGUGUCAACACAUUACUCAUUUGUUUGUGGUGAUGUUAGCAUAAACUGCUCUGCCAGUGAUCUAAAAAUACAACACAUACAAAUAUGUACUAUACAUAAUGCUUGAUACUGAUAAGAAAUGACUAUGC
rnacentral:lncRNA from 1 species